rnacentral:rRNA from 1 species
UACGUAGGCAGCAAGCGUUGUUCGGAAUUACUGGGCGUAAAGAGUGUGUAGGCGGCCCGGUAAGUCCGCUCUGAAAGUCCAGGGCUCAACCCUGGAAAGCGGGUGGAUACUGCCGGGCUAGAAUCCGGAAGAGGCGAGUGGAAUUCCUGGUGUAGCGGUGGAAUGCGCAGAUAUCAGGAGGAACACCGGUGGCGAAGGCGGAUCUCUGGGCCUUACCUGACGCUCAGGUGCGAAAGCUAGGGGAGCGAACAGG